rnacentral:rRNA from 1 species
GACGAACGCUGGCGGCGUGCUUAACACAUGCAAGUCGAACGGAAAUGCCCUGCUUUUGUGGGGUGCUCGAGUGGCUAACGGGUGAGUAACACGUGAGUAACCUGCCCUUGACUUUGGGAUAACUUCAGGAAACUGGGGCUAAUACCGGAUAGGCGCUCCUGCUGCAUGGUGGGGGUUGGAAAGUUUCGGCGGUUGGGGAUGGACUCGCGGCUUAUCAGCUUGUUGGUGGGGUAGUGGCUUACCAAGGCUUUGACGGGUAGCCGGCCUGAGAGGGUGACCGGCCACAUUGGGACUGAGAUACGGCCCAGACUCCUACGGGAGGCAGCAGUGGGGAAUAUUGCACAAUGGGCGGAAGCCUGAUGCAGCAACGCCGCGUGCGGGAUGACGGCCUUCGGGUUGUAAACCGCUUUCGCCUGUGACGAAGCGUGAGUGACGGUAAUGGGUAAAGAAGCACCGGCUAACUACGUG